GUGACCAUCUUUAUUAAGACCUUGGAGGCCUUCUCUGCGACAUAGGUUUUCAUGUCAUGUUCAAGAAUUAGUUCACUGAGUUUCCAGUUCCAUUUAUGUGGAAACAAACAUUUUUCAUCUCUCUUGAAAGUGAUUGAACUGUGAUUUCAGCAUACUUCUUAUUCUGAAAAGUAGGCAACGGUACUCACUGACCUGCUCCACAAGUGAUGCCAUCCCAUGGAGCUGGACUGUGACAUUCAAAAAAUCCAAAUUGAAGAACAGCCUUGUGUGAUCCGGUCAUCAAACCUUGUUGGAUUGAGAUAUUCCAGCCAGUGGAAGAGAACAGGAGGUCAGCAAAACUCAAGUUAUUAGUGCUUCUGAGUAAGGAUCCAGUUGCUGGCUUGCAGCAGUCGAUCGACAAAUUAUAGAGGGAAUGGUGGCCUAUAAAACAUUGGUAAAAUGCUUGUUAUAUGACCUUUAUAUGUAUAACAUCAAAAUAACCAGUUCGAAUAUGCUUAAACAGGCUUUACACAGAGACUAUGAGACAAUUAUAGGAAACUAUCAGAUGCACAGCCAUGCAGAAAAUAAAAGUGAGAGAGACUGAUGAGAAUGUUUGGCAGCAAUAGGGAAUUUAUCAUGUUUUUGUGCACAUUAAAAAAGCAUCUGAAUUUUGUC